AUUGAACGCUGGCGGCAGGCCUAACACAUGCAAGUCGAGCGGAUGAAGGGAGCUUGCUCCUGGAUUCAGCGGCGGACGGGUGAGUAAUGCCUAGGAAUCUGCCUGGUAGUGGGGGAUAACGUCCGGAAACGGGCGCUAAUACCGCAUACGUCCUGAGGGAGAAAGUGGGGGAUCUUCGGACCUCACGCUAUCAGAUGAGCCUAGGUCGGAUUAGCUAGUUGGUGGGGUAAAGGCCUACCAAGGCGACGAUCCGUAACUGGUCUGAGAGGAUGAUCAGUCACACUGGAACUGAGACACGGUCCAGACUCCUACGGGAGGCAGCAGUGGGGAAUAUUGGACAAUGGGCGAAAGCCUGAUCCAGCCAUGCCGCGUGUGUGAAGAAGGUCUUCGGAUUGUAAAGCACUUUAUGUUAGGAGGAAGGGCAGUAAGUUAAUACCUUGCUGUUUUGACGUUACCAACAGAAUAAGCACCGGCUAACUUCGUG
rnacentral:rRNA from 1 species